CGGCGGACGGGUGAGUAACACGUGGAUAACCUACCUAUAAGACUGGGAUAACUUCGGGAAACCGGAGCUAAUACCGUAUAAUAUAUUGAACCGCAUGGUUCAAUAGUGAAAGACGGUUUUGCUGUCACUUAUAGAUGGAUCCGCGCCGCAUUAGCUAGUUGGUAAGGUAACGGCUUACCAAGGCAACGAUGCGUAGCCGACCUGAGAGGGUGAUCGGCCACACUGGAACUGAGACACGGUCCAGACUCCUACGGGAGGCAGCAGUC
rnacentral:rRNA from 1 species